rnacentral:lncRNA from 1 species
UGUAUUAUGUUUAUAACGAAUAUGUCUAGACUUAUCAUUAUACAUAUUACUAUGUGCCCUACUAAUCGCAGAUUGACUAUAGCAAUGGAUGGUAAUCACAAGCAUAAGUUUCGACCAUAUUAGAAUAUCCUACAGAAAUUGGCAUAGCCACUCGACCUCUUCAGUUACUUUAUCUAGAACGAUAAACUCUAAUUCUAUUGUAAAACGUGCAAUGCACGUCUGUUUGAAAAUUUUCUAAGACACCACUGCACUACCAAGCAUGAAGAUGAAGGGGAUUGUAUUCUGCGAACGGAAGCAUAAUUUUAAAAUUUUUAUUUUUCAAAUCUUAAAACCAUGUAAAAUGUACAAUAUUGAUCAAGAGAGGGUAACAGAUACCUUCAAUAUCACUAGAAUAAAUCAUGGAUCGGACCCUGAAGUCCGCUGCCUUGCCUUACCGCGCUUGCGUGGGUUUUUGCAGCGGAAAUUGAUUCCUAAACACUUUAGGAUUCGAAUUUUUAGUUUUCUAGACCCUUUGAUCUUCUCUCCUUUUUCUCUCAACCCUACCUAAUCAUUUAAGAGUGUAGGCUCUCAAACUUUUCUCUCAAAAAUUAUGUUGAGAUUUAUUUUUGGAUUGGUAGCCCAAAUAUCAUAUAUAUAGGCCAUAUUUUCUGCAUGGGUAAGGAUAGGGAUCCUAGGGAGUCCUUGUUUGGAUGCAAUUAAAAUACUAAGUAUUCUAGUCAUCUCAUAACUCAAUUUAAUAAUUUAAUGAAUUGAACUCCAAAGCAAAAGGACUAAAAUAUCAUUUAUUAUUAUUUAUUACCGUAAUCAAAACCUCUCUUCAUGGUUACCAAUAAUUAAGUUUGGAUUAAUUAAUUAUUUACCAAACCCUAAUUAUUUAUAACACUAAUUAUUUUUAACCCUUAUGAUUCAUAAUUCAUUUCUCAUUUAGUCACUAAAAUAAUAAGUCUUGAUUUCGAUAAACAAUUUAUCGAAAAUACUGGAUCCGAAUUUCAAUGACUAAAUUAAUGAAUUAACUCACAAGUUAUACCCGCUAGCUUCUACAAGAGAGUGAGAUUCAUCUUGAGAUUUAAGUGUUUCAACAGACCUCCCCCCCCAUAACAAUAAACCACCAAAAGGAUACCGAGGUAUGACCUCAAUUAGCCUCACUCAUUGGUAAAUCAAAGUAGUAAAGUAGUAACCAAUAGUAGUAACCAUACAAGAACUUGAGUUCACUAUGCUUGUCAAGACCCGGUCAAACAAGACCCGGCCACCAAGUAAAGCCAAACAACUCCAAUGAAGAAAAAGUCAGCAGAAAGAAUAAUACUACAAACAUCCUGUCAUAAUAUCAUAGUACAAUUAAAUCCCUCCAUGGGACCAUGCUCUCCAUGAGCUAUCAAAUACAAAAUUACAUAUAUGCUAGUACAUGGACAUGUUGUUUUUUUUUUUUUUUGCCCACACCGGACCAAAAGAAUAUUAAAUUCCCCAAAAAUAUAUAUAGUCACAGUGCCUUCAACUAAAAUAAAGCAACCGGCAAACAUACCAUAUUUUCAAGACUCGGGGUAUUUACCUCGAUACCUGAAAGUAUUUUAUUAGUAAAGGUGAGUUACCUUGAAAAGAUUUAAUAAGGGUUUGAUGACCUCAAAGCCAAAAUCAUGAUAAAUAGUAUAUGAUGAAAAAUAAAGCAAUAAGAUGUUGCGUUCUUCAUAUCAAACAUACUCCCUUUUUGAAUCGAAUUUCUCAAAUCAAUAGUUUCAAAAUUUUCAACUUUCUCUCAAAAUUAUUUAUCCCAUCCUUCCGAAUGACACAACUAGAGCUAGUACAUAAACCGGCCUCAUUAUGCCCAAGCAUAUGAGACAAAUCCGGCCAACUUUCGGUACUAAUCGAGGCUUGGCUUCCCCUCCCGCGCAGGUUUUCGGUCGUCUAUUCACGGUGGAUUAUCCAAGCCAUCUUAUUCCGGAUACACUAAUGUACCAAAAUCCCGGAUACCUAGCGGUCAUUCCUAAAAAUAGUUACAUCCUCAAUUUCAAAUUUCAGUUUCAUUUCAAACUUUUCAAUCAUAACCAAGUUUAUGAUACAUAGAGUACUAUUACCAAUAAUUUCAAGAAAACCAACCAUUAAAUAUGCAGAUGCCCAACUCAUCAAAUAUAAGGCAUUAUUAAAUAAAAUUAUUUUAAUGUAGCUACCAUCCAAUUAAUUCCAUAAGCAUUAUGAAAAUAUAAGACCAAAACAAUAUAAGCAAUAGUGUAAAUUAAAAAUUUUCAACAUCUCUACUCUAAAUCUCCUCAUAAAACAUUAUAUCAUGAAAAAAAAUUAGAUUUUCAUGAUAGGGUUUGUCCUAACAUAAAUACCUCAUAGGCUAAGUCCUGAGCUACAACACAAUCCCAAGAUUAAACCCAACAAAAUAACCCCCCCUUUACCUCCAAUUCAAUGGAAGAAAAACUUCAAAAAAAUGGUUGAGAAGAUGGUAUGACAAAACAUCCCACUAGCUCUAAUUCGAAUUGUUUGGUCAAUGCUAGCCCCCGUUGAGUAGUAGGUGCUAAUCUUCAAAAGAACUAUUACUAAUUUUCACCCUAACCCCUCACAUAAUGGCUUCAAAGUUGAAACCCACUUUUCUCUUUUAAACAGGACAAACCAAGAGAGGGCAGGGAAACAGAGAAGACAAGGGGAAAAAAAAAAGAAACGUGAGUGGAAAGGGAAUCUUGGUCAAAGAGGAGAAAGAAAAGGAUUAUAGAUACUAAAUGCUUCCUUUUUGCCUUAAGGCCUUGUUUGGCCUCAAAAAAAUAAUACUAUUUGUUAUGGUUCAGAGCAUUUAGCCCCCUUCUCUCAUUCAUACUUGCAUUACUCAACAUAAGCCCAAAACAAAUUUAAUCAACCAUAAUUAAAAUAACUUAGGCCCAAUCACCCCACAAAUUGGACCCAAUUAAAAAAUAAGUCUAAUUAUAACCCAAACCCCAAACGGUGCAUCUAUAUAUAUAUAUACAUGGCAUGAUGCCGUCAUACAUGUGUCCUAAUUCUAUACGUCAUAGGAAAAAAAUUUGAAACCUUACAAACCUCCACCACUAAAGAAAUUUCGUCCACGAAAUUAGAUAAACAUACCAGUUGGUAAAAAGAUCUAUGGAUUAAUUCGCACGAACUUCAAACUUGCGUCCCACGUAGUCUCCUCCCGCCAUGGGCUGAAGCCAAGCUCUUCACCAAGGGGAUGUGGUCUUUCUUACGAACCAUGGUCCCGCGUGUUCCAAUUACACGGAAUCAGUCGCUCCUUAUACGUGAUGUCCUCAUUGAUAACAAGAGCUCCCCAAAUCAAAACGUGUGAAGGAUCGGGUUCAUAUUUUCGCAAAGCGAAAACAUGAAACACAUAUGUACAUUCGCCAAACGCAGUGGUAAAGCAAGACAAUACGCCAUGCCUCCGAACGGUCAAGAAUCUCAAAUGGGCCAAAUAACCUUGGCCGAUAGCUUGCUGUGCUGUUAUGCCCAAAACGCAUUAUACCCCUUUGGGUGAAACAUUCAAGAACACGUUUGAUCUCCCACGGUGAAUCAAGAGUGACAUUCCUCCGGUCGACGUAGUUCUUUUUGAUGGACUCUGUGCCAUAAGUACAACGUUUCCUAAUCAAAACCUAAUUUCUCGGUAGUAGCAUGACCCAAUCCGACGUUACAAAUGUUGCCUCCCGACGUCGUCCAACAUUACAGGUGACCACACAGUCUUCCGUACAAUGCCUCAAAAGGUGUUCAUCCCAAUGCUACUGAUAGCUAUAUUAUACGCAAUUCUACUAAGGUAGAGAUCCGUCCCAGUUAUCCCCCGAAAUCAAGUUACACAUGACCGAAGCAAGCAUGUCUUCCAAAAUUUUAAUAGUAACUCAGACUGCCCGUCAGUCGCAGGGUUAAAACGCAGUGCUUAAUCUCAAAUCAGAGCCAAGAGCUGACUUCAUCCUCUUCCAAGAGCGAUGUAAAAUGCGGAUCUCUAUCAGAAACGAUUAGAUUACCGAAACUCCGUUGAAGUCGAACGAUUUCAGAACACGAACAUAAAUGGACCGCCCAGAUCCCUCGCGAAUUUGACAAAUGCGAUAGGAGAACGUGCGACAGAUUGGUCAUCAAACGAUUAACCCAACAAAUGGUUGUCAGCCCUCUAAGUGCACCUAGGCAAACGGACACAAAGUCCAUAGUGAUAUGCUCCAUUUCCACUCCGCAACCGGUAACAGUCUGUAACAAACCCAUGGUUUCUAGGCUCGGGCUUUUACUUUUGUGACAAGUCAAACACUUCGAAAGAAGAAGGCAACGUUUUCUUACAUUCAGCCUCCACCAAAAAAUGGCGACACAAAUCAUGGAUACAUCUUCGUCCCUAUAGUAUGAACUGCUAAGUCGUGAAAUGAUGAAACUGAUUGAAGAAACAAAGUCUCACUAGACAAAGGUACAAAAUCAUCUAGAACUUAUACCUCAAACCCUGAUCCGAUGGCAAAACACAUCUGUCGGUCUUACACCAUAGCAAUACGGUACAAAAACUUGUCUGGCCUCUACGGUAUUGUUGUUGUGCCUCAAUAACCCGACUGAUGAUAGAUGGUUCCGACAGAUACAAUAACAAUGUAGCAACUCGUCAGUUCUUGUUGAGAAGCAAAUCAUCUCACCGAGAUCCUGAAGCAUUUACCCACUAUAAAUGGAAACGCUCGACAAAAGUACUAAGAGAUUUUUCUACUAAGGCACCUCGGCCACAAUGUUGGCCUUCCCGGGAUGAUAUUGUAAUUCAAAAGUCGUGGUACUCCAAUGUACUUACAAUCCAACGUCGAUACCCAAGUUAGUCUUUCUGUAUGUGAACAGAAAUCAAGCUAUUUGUGAUCUGAAAACACUUUAAAUCGUUCCCCAUACAAGUAAUGCCUCCACUUUUCAAUGCAAAAAUAACAUCUGCAGCUCUUGGCUAACUCUAAGUCGUGAGUUGGAUAAUUUUGUUCGUGUGGUCUUUAAUUGGCGUGAACCUACGCCAUCACUUUACCAACUGCAUUAACAUGCAACCCAAGCCAUCAUGUGAAGCA